UCCAGCUUAUCGCUGGCGGUCUCCUGCGAGUGCUCCCUUGCGGGGUGGCAACACAGGACGAGGGUUGCGCUCGUUGCGGGACUUAACCCAACAUCUCACGACACGAGCUGACGACAGCCAUGCAGCACCUCGGCUCCACUCCCUUGCGGGAUAGCGAUGUUUCCACCGCCGUUGGGAAGCCGUUCGAGCCCAGGUAAGGUUCUUCGCGUUGCGUCGAAUUGAACCACAUGCUCCACCGCUUGUGCGGGCCCCCGUCAAUUCCUUUGAGUUUCAGCCUUGCGACUGUACUCCCCAGGCGGCACAUUUAACGCGUUAGCUCCGGCACGGAUCAACUGAAUGACCCACACCAAAUGUGCAUCGUUUAGGGCGUGGACUAC
rnacentral:misc_RNA from 1 species